rnacentral:rRNA from 1 species
UACGUAGGGAGCAAGCGUUGUCCGGAAUCAUUGGGCGUAAAGCGCGCGUAGGCGGCCCUGUAAGUCCGCUGUGAAAGUCAAAGGCUCAACCUUUGAAAGCCGGUGGAUACUGCAGGGCUAGAGUCCGGAAGAGGCGAGUGGAAUUCCUGGUGUAGCGGUGGAAUGCGCAGAUAUCAGGAGGAACACCAAUAGCGAAGGCAGCUCGCUGGGACGGUACUGACGCUAAGGCGCGAAAGCGUGGGGAGCGAACGAG